UACGUAGGGUGCAAGCGUUGUCCGGAAUUAUUGGGCGUAAAGAGCUCGUAGGCGGUUUGUUGCGUCGGCUGUGAAAUCCCGAGGCUCAACCCUCGGGUCUGCAGUCGAUACGAGCAAACUAGAGUGUUGCAGGGGAGACUGGAAUCCUGGUGUAGCGGUGAAAUGCGCAGAUAUCAGGAGGAACACCGGUGGCGAAGGCGGGUCUCUG
rnacentral:rRNA from 1 species